AGAAUUGGUAGAGGUGCAUGAAUCAAGAGUAAUUGUUGAUAAUGUUUGGUGACAGUCAACAAUGAAAGGGAAACGUGCCGAAGAAAAUAACAGCACCAAAUGUUAUUUAUCUGGGAAAUUAUAAAAUAUAUAAUUUCUUGUCACUUUUUAGUGGAGAGCUAUCUUGUAU
rfam:Coprobacillus sp. CAG:235 genomic scaffold, scf216